GAGUUCAUAUCAUCCUUGGCCUCUGGCAACGGCUCAUGUGAAGUCUCAUGCACCGAAAGCAAAUCUAGCUGGGAACCAUCCCUCUUAUCAAAAAAGAGCUUGUUUCCGACCCUCUGAAUCACAAUAUCCCAUGAAUACACUGACCUCGGUGCGCACAUCAAAGUUGCGAGGAUAGUAUCCGUUGCAAAGACCGUAGCUUUAUCCUCAUUGGCAAGCCUCCGUAUCACUGGAUCGAGUGACUUUGAAAAAGUUUCGGUUUUUGAACCUCUCCAAACGACGCUCGUUUUUGGGAGUGAUUCUAUCAUACGAUCUAUCGUAAAACUCGAGGCCGCCGCAGAGAAGUAGAUCUUCCGGCUCAGGGACUGUGAAUGAGAGCUUUGAAAACGUUGAAAAGGGUAUCUGAUCCAGCAUGUUCCACUCUGGUUG
rnacentral:misc_RNA from 1 species